rnacentral:misc_RNA from 1 species
GUUGAUAUUGGGUAGAGAAAAUUUGUCAUCCUUCAAAAAAUGAUUUAAAGGCUUAUAAUCAAUCACGAGCCUUUUCUUUCCCCUGAUUUUUUCUAAUCUUUUUUCUACAUAAAAGGCCUAACAUGCCCAUGUUGAGUUUGUGGGUUCAAUGAGGCCUUGUUGGAGGAGCUGCUGGCAUUCCUGUUGAGCCAAAGAGAGUUCUGUAGGAGUCAUUACAGGAUGUGUUGUCUUUGUGAGAUUGAUGUCUUCAUUAAGCUUAAAGGAAAGCUUAAUAAAGAACUUUUCAUUUUUCCAUAAUGGUGUAGGAUGAGAAAAAUCUGCAUGAGAGUCUGCACAAGAAAGCAUUAAAAGAUCUCUAUAUUUCUGAAAGUCUGGAGGAGCUACAGAGAGUGAGAACAUCUUUUGAAUUGUGGUAAAAGAUUUAAAAAACCUUUUAUAUUUUAU